CCUACGGGGGGCUGCAGUGGGGAAUAUUGGACAAUGGGGGCAACCCUGAUCCAGCCAUGCCGCGUGUGUGAAGAAGGCCCUCGGGUUGUAAAGCACUUUCAGUGAGGAAGAACGCCUGGUGGUUAAUACCCAUCAGGAAAGACAUCACUCACAGAAGAAGCACCGGCUAACUCCGUGCACAGCAGCCGCGGUAAUACGGAGGGUGCGAGCGUUAAUCGGAAUUACUGGGCGUAAAGCGCGCGUAGGUGGCUUGAUAAGCCGGUUGUGAAAGCCCCGGGCUCAACCUGGGAACGGCAUCCGGAACUGUCAAGCUAGAGUGCAGGAGAGGAAGGUAGAAUUCCCGGUGUAGCGGUGAAAUGCGUAGAGAUCGGGAGGAAUACCAGUGGCGAAGGCGGCCUUCUGGACUGACACUGACACUGAGGUGCGAAAGCGUGGGUAGCAAACAGGAUUAGAUACCCUGGUAGUC
rnacentral:rRNA from 1 species